UAAGCGGAGGAAAAGAAACUAACCAGGAUUUCCCUAGUAACGGCGAGCGAACCGGAAAGAGCCCAGCUUGAAAAUCGGGGUGCCCCGCACCCCGAGUUGUAGUCUGGAGAAGGUCCCUCUGCGCCGCGCCGGACCCAAGUUCCCUGGAAAGGGACGUCGGAGAGGGUGACAACCCCGUCCAGUCCGGACACGCGUCGCUCCACGAGGUCCUGUCCACGAGUCGGGCUGUUUGGGAAUGCAGCCCCAAUCGGAUGGUAAAUUCCACCCAAGGCUAAAUAUGGGCAAGAGACCGAUAGCGAACAAGUACCGCGAGGGAAAGAUGAAAAGGACUUUGAAAAGAGAGUUAAAAAGUGCUUGAAAUUGCUGGGAGGGAACCGAAUGGAAGCUGCGGCUGCGCCCCGGUUGGAUGCGGAACGGCCUUUCUAUCAAAAAGGCUGGUCUGCCGCUCAACGCGGGGCGCUGGUCAGCGUGGGCUAUCGCGGCGGGACAAAGGGCGGGCGCGCUCGCGCACCCGCCUUAUGCCGCGGCGGUGGCCGAGGAAGGAAGCAUGCGCUGUUUAUAAUAGCGUGGGCCCCGSCCCAACUGCAUGCUCGGGACGCUGGCGCAUUGAGCUCUUCAUCCGACCCGUCUUGAAACACGGACCAAGGAGUCUAACAUGUAUGCGAGCCCGUGGGCGGCAAACCCAUCGAGGCGAAAGUAACCUGAAAGGUGGGACCCCUYKUAUMWAAAAGGGCGCACCAUCGACCGACCGUGAUCUUCUGUGAAAGGUUUGAGUGCGAGCAUACCCGUUGGGACCCGAAAGAUGGUGAACUAUGCCUGAGCAGGGCGAAGCCAGAGGAAACUCUGGUGGAGGCUCGUAGCGAUACUGACGUGCAAAUCGUUCGUCAGACUUGGGUAUAGGGGCGAAAGACUAAUCGAACCAUCUAGUAGCUGGUUCCCUCCGAAGUUUCCCUCAGGAUAGCUGGAGCUCGCGCGCUGAGUUUUAUCAGGUAAAGCGAAUGAUUAGAGGCAUCGGGGGUGCAACACCCUCGACCUAUUCUCAAACUUUAAAUGGGUAAGCCGCCGGGGUUGCUCCGCUCUGAACCCCGGCACCCAAUCAGAGCUCCAAGUGGGCCAU
rnacentral:rRNA from 1 species